ensembl:lncRNA
GGGAACAAGAGCAUCCUGGAAAGUCUUCCCUCCUUGUGCUGCCAUACCAGAGGCCAGGCACAAGACAGCAAGAUCCAAGGUCAAAGCCAUCUGCCAGGUGAAACUCUUGUGGGAAUGGUUUGGAGGGAUCCUUGCACACUGGGUGAAAUCCCCCUCAGACACUUGGACUGUGUAGCAACUCAGGAAGGUCCAUGGGAACCUCCCUAGCUCCUGACUUCUCCUGAACACCUGUGGAGUUUUGGUCCCAAGGGAAACAGGUUCCCUAUCUGCCCCAUGCUCAUGCUGAUGACUGCUGGUAUUUCUGCAGUGUGUUCACCCCAUGCCUAGCCAGCUCUCCGAGGAUGAGAGAGGCAGGUAGGCAGGAGUUAUCUCCUUCAGCCAGGCCUGACAUCACACUCCUGGCUUCUGAGAACUGCCAGAGAGCACUGCAGGUAUGUGCCAAAUGGAUGAGACCUGAAGGAAGCCCCUCAAAAGCUGAGACUAAUCAUGCCUGACACCUCCAGGAGGUCUGGCAGCUAUAUGCAGGAUGGGAGCAUGGGAAUUCCCACUGGAGAGAACAGAAGGUGGAAUGGGCAGCAUGGGAAGCCUGGGCUGCUGGGGAGGACCAACAGAUGCCACAGGUAGGGGCAGAGACCCUCUGUGUCAGGUCACUCUGGCUGGACAUAGAACCCCUCUGGGACAGGGGCACAGAGGGUGGAAUUGGGAGGUCAGGAGGGACCACAAAGGACUAAUGAGGCAUGGGACAGGUCUCUUGGAGAGGGGCUAUGUUUCUUGAGGGCUUAGGGUGUCCCAGGGGGCUUUUGGGCACUCCUGGGCUAGUUUGGGGGUAGUCCCUGGGACUGGGGGGGAACUCCUAGGACCUAGAUGAUAGGAGUCCCUGGGGACCCAGAUUAAGAGAGGAGUCUCAGAUGGGGUUAGGAUGUUCUGGGGCUUCAAGGGGACUCUUAGGACUCAAAGAGAUGGGCAUCCCAGGGGUGCAGUUGGGGGUCACCCAGGUGCAGGGCAGGGAUUUGCCUAUAUGUCCCGCAAGGGAGAACUCUGCGGGGCAAAAGCAGCCAUCUGUCAUGGUGGGGUACCAAGUCUCCUGGCUCCCACAUAUUCAGGGGCCCCCUGAGAAGUGGCAUCUCUGGUUUGCUGAGAGUGUCCCCUCCUUGGCAGAUAUUUGGCGUUGGAGGUGCUUGGGCUCCACAUCGUCCAUCCCAGCCCCCAAGAAAGGGGGUCGCUGGGAAGUGGGGGACAGCUGGAACCCCCCUCCCCACAGAGAAAAUGGCAGAGAGAUUCCAGCCUGGGACCAGACACCUUUCCCCACGAGCCAUCCAGGUGCUCCAUGGGCUGGAGCCACAUCAGACACGGAGGAACAUCUUCAUGUUUUUGGCUGAGAACAACAGGCGGCGGCAGGAGCAGCAGAGGCAGUUCUGCAGGUAACUCCACAGGAAUGGAUUUUCCCAUAUUCCUCUGCUGAAGCAGCCCCGGGGGACAGAAGUGGGAUCUGGAGGCUGCCUGUGGGCUGGACUCCCCUGGCACCUACCCGGACACCCAACAUCGGCUCCUCAUGCAGGACAGAAAGUCCUGGCUGAAGACAGAGGGACCUUGAUGGCAGGCUGUCCCCUUCCCAAACCUGAGAGCAUGUCCUUCCCUGGC